GCUUCUAUAGCUCAGUCGGCAGAGCGCGUCCUUGGUAAGGACGAGGUCAUCAGUUCGAAUCUGAUUAGAAGCU
rnacentral:tRNA from 1 species